AACAUACUUCCUCCGUCCGGAAAUAUUUGUCAUUAAAAUGGAUAAAAGGGAUGUAUCUAGAACUAAUAUAUGUCUAGAUACAUCCCGUUUUAUUCAUUUUGAUAACAAGUAUUUUCAGACGGAGUAAGUAUAUC
rfam:Triticum urartu cultivar G1812 contig929650, whole genome shotgun sequence.